UUAAGCGACUAAGCGUACACGGUGGAUGCCCUGGCAGUCAGAGGCGAUGAAGGACGUGCUAAUCUGCGAAAAGCGUCGGUAAGGUGAUAUGAACCGUUAUAGCCGGCGAUGUCCGAAUGGGGAAACCCAGUGCAAUUCGUUGCACUAUCGUUAACUGAAUACAUAGGUUAACGAGGCGAACCGGGGGAACUGAAACAUCUAAGUACCCCGAGGAAAAGAAAUCAACCGAGAUUCCCCCAGUAGCGGCGAGCGAACGGGGAGCAGCCCAGAGUCUGAAUCAGCUUGUGUGUUAGUGGAACGGUCUGGAAAGUCCGACGGUACAGGGUGAUAGUCCCGUACACCAAAAUGCACAGGUUGUGAACUCGAAGAGUAGGGCGGGACACGUGGUAUCCUGUCUGAAUAUGGGGGGACCAUCCUCCAAGGCUAAAUACUCCUGACUGACCGAUAGUGAACCAGUACCGUGAGGGAAAGGCGAAAAGAACCCCGGCGAGGGGAGUGAAAAAGAACCUGAAACCGUGUACGUACAAGCAGUGGGAGCACCUUCGGGUGUGACUGCGUACCUUUUGUAUAAUGGGUCAGCGACUUAUAUUCUGUAGCAAGGUUAACCGUAUAGGGGAGCCGCAGGGAAACCGAGUCUUAACUGGGCGUUAAGUUGCAGGGUAUAGACCCGAAACCCGGUGAUCUAGCCAUGGGCAGGUUGAAGGUUGGGUAACACUAACUGGAGGACCGAACCGACUAAUGUUGAAAAAUUAGCGGAUGACUUGUGGCUGGGGGUGAAAGGCCAAUCAAACCGGGAGAUAGCUGGUUCUCCCCGAAAGCUAUUUAGGUAGCGCCUCGUGAAUUCAUCUUCGGGGGUAGAGCACUGUUUCGGCUAGGGGGUCAUCCCGACUUACCAACCCGAUGCAAACUACGAAUACCGAAGAAUGUUAUCACGGGAGACACACGGCGGGUGCUAACGUCCGUCGUGAAGAGGGAAACAACCCAGACCGCCAGCUAAGGUCCCAAAGUCAUGGUUAAGUGGGAAACGAUGUGGGAAGGCACAGACAGCCAGGAUGUUGGCUUAGAAGCAGCCAUCAUUUAAAGAAAGCGUAAUAGCUCACUGGUCGAGUCGGCCUGCGCGGAAGAUGUAACGGGGCUAAACCAUGCACCGAAGCUGCGGCAGCGACACUAUGUGUUGUUGGGUAGGGGAGCGUUCUGUAAGCCUGCGAAGGUGACCUGUGAGGGUUGCUGGAGGUAUCAGAAGUGCGAAUGCUGACAUAAGUAACGAUAAAGCGGGUGAAAAGCCCGCUCGCCGGAAGACCAAGGGUUCCUGUCCAACGUUAAUCGGGGCAGGGUGAGUCGACCCCUAAGGCGAGGCCGAAAGGCGUAGUCGAUGGGAAACAGGUUAAUAUUCCUGUACUUGGUGUUACUGCGAAGGGGGGACGGAGAAGGCUAUGUUAGCCGGGCGACGGUUGUCCCGGUUUAAGCAUGUAGGCUGAUUGUCCAGGCAAAUCCGGAUAAUCAAGGCUGAGGUGUGAUGACGAGGCACUACGGUGCUGAAGUAACAAAUGCCCUGCUUCCAGGAAAAGCCUCUAAGCAUCAGGUAACAUUAAAUCGUACCCCAAACCGACACAGGUGGUCAGGUAGAGAAUACCAAGGCGCUUGAGAGAACUCGGGUGAAGGAACUAGGCAAAAUGGUGCCGUAACUUCGGGAGAAGGCACGCUGGUGUGUAGGUGAAGCCCCUGCGGGUGGAGCUGAGACCAGUCGAAGAUACCAGCUGGCUGCAACUGUUUAUUAAAAACACAGCACUGUGCAAACACGAAAGUGGACGUAUACGGUGUGACGCCUGCCCGGUGCCGGAAGGUUAAUUGAUGGGGUUAUCCGUAAGGAGAAGCUCUUGAUCGAAGCCCCGGUAAACGGCGGCCGUAACUAUAACGGUCCUAAGGUAGCGAAAUUCCUUGUCGGGUAAGUUCCGACCUGCACGAAUGGCGUAAUGAUGGCCAGGCUGUCUCCACCCGAGACUCAGUGAAAUUGAACUCGCUGUGAAGAUGCAGUGUACCCGCGGCAAGACGGAAAGACCCCGUGAACCUUUACUAUAGCUUGACACUGAACAUUGAGCCUUGAUGUGUAGGAUAGGUGGGAGGCUUUGAAGCGUGGACGCCAGUCUGCGUGGAGCCAACCUUGAAAUACCACCCUUUAAUGUUUGAUGUUCUAACGUUGGCCCCUUACCGGGGUUGCGGACAGUGUCUGGUGGGUAGUUUGACUGGGGCGGUCUCCUCCCAAAGCGUAACGGAGGAGCACGAAGGUUAGCUAAUCCUGGUCGGACAUCAGGAGGUUAGUGCAAUGGCAUAAGCUAGCUUGACUGCGAGCGUGACGGCGCGAGCAGGUGCGAAAGCAGGUCAUAGUGAUCCGGUGGUUCUGAAUGGAAGGGCCAUCGCUCAACGGAUAAAAGGUACUCCGGGGAUAACAGGCUGAUACCGCCCAAGAGUUCAUAUCGACGGCGGUGUUUGGCACCUCGAUGUCGGCUCAUCACAUCCUGGGGCUGAAGUAGGUCCCAAGGGUAUGGCUGUUCGCCAUUUAAAGUGGUACGCGAGCUGGGUUUAGAACGUCGUGAGACAGUUCGGUCCCUAUCUGCCGUGGGCGCUGGAGAAUUGAGGGGGGCUGCUCCUAGUACGAGAGGACCGGAGUGGACGCAUCACUGGUGUUCGGGUUGUCAUGCCAAUGGCACUGCCCGGUAGCUAAAUGCGGAAGAGAUAAGUGCUGAAAGCAUCUAAGCACGAAACUUGCCCCGAGAUGAGUUCUCCCUGAGACUUUAAGUCUCCUGAAGGAACGUUGAAGACGACGACGUUGAUAGGCCGGGUGUGUAAGCGCAGCGAUGCGUUGAGCUAACCGGUACUAAUGAACCGUGAGGCUUAACCUU
rnacentral:rRNA from 1 species